AUAUGAAAUUAAAAGAAUAACAGUUAGAAAUAUUUAUGUUAAUACAUGAUUCUCAUGGCAACAGGGAAUGAGACCGGCUGCAUAAGUGUACUGACUCAUUUAUGUUUGUUAACAGAGAAUUAUAACGACAUCUGCUGUAGAGUCCCAACCCCCUGGGACCUGCAAACAACAAUGUCACAAAGAAGGAUUUCAAUGUUUUUUGCUCCAAAAGUGGUUGGCAGCCAAGGAGGUAUGAUAGCAGAUAAGGAUGCAGUCAGGGUUCAUGCAGGAGACCAAAGGGAGGAGAGUGCAAGUUCAGGUACCUGUAGGCUAUGUUAAGAGUGUCUAUGUAACAAAGUCGACCUGGUGAAUUCCCUCUCAGUAUAAAAAGAGGUAAAGACCUCCCACUUGCGCCAAAAAAUAGGUUGUUUUGUCCUUGGCAUAACUAAUAGCACACACGUUUAUUUGGUGGUCAAUUGUGGUCGCAAAUCAGAGGACCUGGUUUCGAGACCAAUGAAGGCAAACGAGCAGGAGGAAGCAAUACUGACGAGCAACACAAUGACACCACUUACAUGUAGUAUUUAACAUAUUUUAGUAACCUAAUUAUAAUGUUUGAAAUUAAAAUUUCUAAAUGCAAUAAUUUGAUAGAAUAUUGAUCUUAAGUUUACAGUAGGCUACAGCUUAACUUUUUUUUAUUUAUUCUUUUAUACAUUUUCAGAGAUAAGGGCAGAGUCAGCAUACAUAGAUGCAGCUGCCAGUGAUGCUGCUGACCAGAGUGAGGACAGUGCAAGUGCAAGUGCAGGUACCUGUAGGCUAUGUGAGGAGUAUCUAUACCAAUAUCUCUAGUCCAGAAUUGUAUAAAAUUCAGCAGUGUAUCCCAGUAUACAUCCUUGCCAGUGCCCAUUAAAAUACAGGUGGCUCAGGGUCAGGGAGCACAUGGAACCUGUUAGGAAAGAAUGAUUUAGGGACACGAGAAACAGGCCCAAAGCAGUCCAGACGGGACCAGUACCCCUCCACUAGUUUUUGAAAGCAGCAACGGUCUUUCC
rnacentral:lncRNA from 1 species